rnacentral:rRNA from 1 species
AUUGAACGCUGGCGGCAGGCCUAACACAUGCAAGUCGAACGGUAACAGGAAGAAGCUUGCUUCUUUGCUGACGAGUGGCGGACGGGUGAGUAAUGUCUGGGAAACUGCCUGAUGGAGGGGGAUAACUACUGGAAACGGUAGCUAAUACCGCAUAACGUCGCAAGACCAAAGAGGGGGACCUUCGGGCCUCUUGCCAUCGGAUGUGCCCAGGUGGGAUUAGCUAGUAGGUGGGGUAACGGCUCACCUAGGCGACGAUCCCUAGCUGGUCUGAGAGGAUGACCAGCCACACUGGAACUGAGACACGGUCCAGACUCCUACGGGAGGCAGCAGUGGGGAAUAUUGCACAAUGGGCGAAAGCCUGAUGCAGCCAUGCCGCGUGUAUGAAGAAGGCCUUCGGGUUGUAAAGUACUUUCAGCGGGGAGGAAGGGAGUAAAGUUAAUACCUUUGCUCAUUGACGUUACCCGCAGAAGAAGCACCGGCUAACUCCGUG